CCCUUAGAUGUUCUGGGCCGCACGCGCGCUACACUGACGAAGUCAGCGAGCAUGUCCUACGCCGACAGGUGCGGGGAAUCUUGUCAAACUUCGUCGUGAUGGGGAUUGAUUAUUGAAAUUCUUGAUCAUCAACGAGGAAUUCCUAGUAAGCGCAAGUCAGCAGCUUGCGUUGAUUACGUCCCUGCCCUUUGUACACACCGCCCGUCGCUACUACCGAUUGAAUGGUUUAGUGAGAUCUUCGGAUUGGCGCCACUGCGGCUCAGCAAUGGGCUCGGUGGAUGCCGAAAAGUUGAUCAAACUUGAUCAUUUAGAGGAAGUAAAAGUCGUAGCA
rnacentral:rRNA from 1 species